UUAAAGUCUUUAAAAGGUGUGCACGUUUACUAAAAUGGUCAUAAGUUAAAAAUUAUUUAAAUUCUGUGGUAGUGCGACGAAUGUAUUGAGCGAAAAGUGUAAGUGCCUUUUUACAUUCUCUGUGUGACUUUGUAUAUUUUUCUACAAAGCAUUUCUCGCAUGAAUUCAGUCGUUUUACAUAUAUUUUUGCCUUUGAACGUGCUCAUUUACAUAUGUUAAAUAGCAGCGAGAAUGGUGAAUUACUUUUGUGUGUUUUUGAGUAUUUUUAUAUCUUGUGCUAAAUACUAAAUUUUAUAAGAUGCCGAACUGUGUUGUCAAUAUCGACGCAAAAACAAUUUAAAUUAAAUUAAAAUGAAUAAAAAUCCAGGAAAAAGUUCAACAGAACGUAGUCGCGAGUUUCGUGCACGUAAAAAACAAUUAUUGAACAAUCAAAAUAGAUGUUCAAAUAUACAUACAUAAGUGUUAAUGUGACUGAUGUAAUAAAUGACCACUCUCAUCAAAAUAGUGUCCCAACGGGAUAUAAUUCAGUAAAUAAUUAUUUCGAUGUAAACAAUAUGGUAAAACUCUUACCCCGUAAUCAGUGCUGCCAACUUUUGACCAGGAAAAAAAAGCUGUUUUUGACGGGAAGAAUGGAGA